GUUCUGAUGGGGUUUGGGGAGUUUUAGCUGGUCUUGAGAGCCGAGGAACUUAGAGCCCUGUGUUUGAUAUGCUUUAGAGCAGGGAUCUCCAACCCUGCUCCAACACACCUGUCUGUAAUUAUCAAGUAGCCCUGAACGCAUUGAUUAGCUGGUUCUGGGGUGUUUGAUUGGGGUUGGAGCUGAAAUCUUCAGGACAGUAGCUCUCCAGGAGCAGGGUUGGAGACCCCUGCUUUAGAGGAUGUGCGUGUGUCAGAGGCUGAGUAAUGAAGUAUUUCUCAAAGGAAGUCCACCCUCAUCCGUGUCCCUCUUACCCACACGUCUCACUCCUGCAAUUACAGGCUUCUGCCCGGCCUUUGCAGGGCGCCUGUGUGCGAGUGAAGACGAGUGAUGGAGAUGAACUAUCUUUGCUGAAAAGGUUGGCGGAUGUGCAUCAGCAUGGAAAAACAAUCCAGAUUUGGAAUGCCAUGAAGCCCCCCACCCACCGCGCUCCAGUAUGA
ensembl:lncRNA